rnacentral:rRNA from 1 species
GACGAACGCUGGCGGCGUGCCUAACACAUGCAAGUCGAGCGAAUGAAGUUCCUUCGGGAACGGAUUUAGCGGCGGACGGGUGAGUAACACGUGGGCAGCCUGCCUCAUAGAGGGGAAUAGCCUUCCGAAAGGGAGAUUAAUACCGCAUAAGAUUGUAGUACCGCAUGGUACAGCAAUUAAAGGAGCAAUCCGCUAUGAGAUGGGCCCGCGGCGCAUUAGCUAGUUGGUGAGGUAACGGCUCACCAAGGCGACGAUGCGUAGCCGACCUGAGAGGGUGAUCGGCCACAUUGGGACUGGGACACGGCCCAGACUCCUACGGGAGGCAGCAGUGGGGAAUAUUGCACAAUGGGGGAAACCCUGAUGCAGCAACGCCGCGUGAGUGAUGACGGCCUUCGGGUUGUAAAGCUCUGUCUUCAGGGACGAUAAUGACGGUACCUGAGGAGGAAGCCACGGCUAACUACGUGCCAGCCGCCGCCGCGG